AUGCGGCGGUGUCGGGGCGCGGGGCUGGCGGCGCUGGCCGCGCUGCUGCUCGUGGCUUCAGGCAGAGCCCAGGUGCAGCAGGAGCCAUUCCUGGAGACCACCGAGGGCACCGGCAUCGCAAUCAACUGCUCACACCCCAGCAAACGGAGUGGCGAUUACAUCCAUUUCUACCGUCAUCUCCCGGGCCAAAGCCCCGAAUUCCUCACCUACACUACUGGAACCUCCAAGGACGUUCCGGCCAUCGCAGGAAAGCUGUGGGUGUCGGAGGACGGGCGUUGGAGCGCGCUGUGGCUCGGGCGGCCCCGGCGCGGGGACGCGGCCGUGUAUUACUGCGCGCUGGGCCACGGGCAGAGGAGCCGGGGCUGCGGCCGGCCAGGAGCCGGCGAGAGCCCGAGCGGCACCGGCGCAGGGCUGAGCCCCGGGGCGGAGCUGGCGGCGGGGAAGGGCAGAGCGAAGGAGAGAAGCGGCGCUGGCGGAGCAGAGAGCCGGGGCUGA